rnacentral:rRNA from 1 species
GUGCAGCAGGCGCGAAACCUCCGCAAUGCACGCAAGUGCGACGGGGGAACCCCAAGUGCCACUCUUAACGGGGUGGCUUUUCAGAAGUGUAAAAAGCUUCUGGAAUAAGGGCUGGACAAGACCGGUGCCAGCCGCCGCGGUAACACCGGCAGCUCAAGUGGUAGCCGCUUUUAUUGGGCCUAAAGCGUCCGUAGCCGGUCUGAUAAGUCUCUGGUGAAAUCCCACAGCUUAACUGUGGGAAUUGCUGGAGAUACUAUCAUGACUCGAGGUCGGGAGAGGCUGGAGGUACUCCCAGGGUAGGGGUGAAAUCCUGUAAUCCUGGGAGGACCACCUGUGGCGAAGGCGUCCAGCUGGAACGAACCUGACGGUGAGGGACGAAAGCCAGGGGCGCGAACCGGAUUAGAUACCCGGGUAGUCC